AUGCUUGCAUUGAUUUCUGUACGUAUAUUUAUAUAAGACUUAAUGUUUGAUUAAGUGUAUGAUUGGCUCUUAAAUAUAAAUAGAAAUGCAUUGAUUUUAGUACUAGUAUAAAUAAGAAAAUGAUAUAGUUUUAUAACUGUUUUUACAGAGGGGUUAGUAUGUUCUAAUACUAUUUUCUAACGCUUUGUUUUGGUCCACUCACCCUUUUUAAUGUUUUGAGCCCCCAGGCAGUAGUCGUGCAUCAGUGCGCCACCACCGGGCCGAGUCCAUCUUCCGCCACAUUUCCUGACAACGUGUAAUCUUGGGAUUGGUUUAACUACGGGGGAGAUCUUGCUGAAUUUUUCAGCAAAAGUCAAACCCCAGUUUUAGUUGAAA